rnacentral:rRNA from 1 species
GAUCAUGGCUCAGGACGAACGCUGGCGGCGCGCCUAACACAUGCAAGUCGAACGAGAGAUGAGGAGCUUGCUUCCUCAAUCGAGUGGCGAACGGGUGAGUAACGCGUGAGGAACCUGCCUCAAAGAGGGGGACAACAGUUGGAAACGACUGCUAAUACCGCAUAAGCCCACGGCUCGGCAUCGAGCAGAGGGAAAAGGAGCAAUCCGCUUUGAGAUGGCCUCGCGUCCGAUUAG